rnacentral:rRNA from 1 species
CCUACGGGAGGCAGCAGUGAGGAAUAUUGGUCAAUGGACGAGAGUCUGAACCAGCCAAGUAGCGUGAAGGAUGACUGCCCUAUGGGUUGUAAACUUCUUUUAUAUGGGAAUAAAAUGUUCCACGUGUGGGAUUCUGUAUGUACCAUAUGAAUAAGGAUCGGCUAACUCCGUGCCAGCAGCCGCGGUAAUACGGAGGAUCCGAGCGUUAUCCGGAUUUAUUGGGUUUAAAGGGAGCGUAGGUGGAUUGUUAAGUCAGUUGUGAAAGUUUGCGGCUCAACCGUGAAAUUGCAGUUGAAACUGGCAGUCUUGAGUACAGGAGAGGUGGGCGGAAUUCGUGGUGUAGCGGUGAAAUGCUUAGAUAUCGCGAAGAACUCCGAUUGCGAAGGCAGCUCACUGGACUGCAACUGACACUGAGGCUCGAAAGUGUGGGUAUCAAACAGGAUUAGAUACCCGAGUAGUC